CAGUCGAGCGAAUGAUGAGGAAGCUUGCUUCCUCUGAUUUAGCGGCGGACGGGUGAGUAACACGUGGGCAACCUACCUUAUAGUUUGGGAUAACUCCGGGAAACCGGGGCUAAUACCAAAUAAUCUCUUUUACUUCAUGGUGAAAGACUGAAAGACGG
rnacentral:rRNA from 1 species